UGGGGAAUAUUGCACAAUGGGCGCAAGCCUGAUGCAGCCAUGCCGCGUGUGUGAAGAAGGCCUUCGGGUUGUAAAGCACUUUCAGCGGGGAGGAAGGCGUUAAGGUUAAUAACCUUGGCGAUUGACGUUACCCGCAGAAGAAGCACCGGCUAACUCCGUGCCAGCAGCCGCGGUAAUACGGAGGGUGCAAGCGUUAAUCGGAAUUGCUGGGCGUAAAGCGCACGCAGGCGGUUUGUUAAGUCAGAUGUGAAAUCCCCGGGCUCAACCUGGGAACUGCAUCUGAUACUGGCAAGCUUGAGUCUCGUAGAGGGGGGUAGAAUUCCAGGUGUAGCGGUGAAAUGCGUAGAGAUCUGGAGGAAUACCGGUGGCGAAGGCGGCCCCCUGGACGAAGACUGACGCUCAGGUGCGAAAGCGUGGGGAGCAAACGGG
rnacentral:rRNA from 1 species